CCGGAAGUGGGCUGCUACCGGUGAGCGCGAGAGGAACACACUGCAGGAGCCCAAUACCGGAGCCGCGGGAGUGUUUGAGAGUCAUUUAUCUGCGGAAUUGGCCAGGUUGGAUGGCGAGCUUAGAGCCCUUAACUAGAGUCUGAAGCUUUAUCCCUGGAACCGAACCACCUGAACUGAAUCCACCCAACCGAACCCCGGGCUGGUAGGAGGCUUCUCAGCAGCCGCCCUCUGUUUUUCCUUUCUUUUUGCCAAAACGCAACAAGUUCAUUGCGGUCCUCCUGAACCUUCACUUUUCCCCCGUCCCUUCACUAAAACCCCUCUGGACACUGCCACCACAACGUGGACUUUACGGGGCCUGUUAAAUGAACUAUGAAUUUGUGUUGCGCUCAUACCAUCGUUGGUAAAAAACAAGGACUAAAUCACAUAUACUGAUAUUGUAAAUAACUGAACGUUGUGUGAAUUGAUGUAUAUGUGAAUGGCCAUUUGAAUUUACAUGUUUAAUGUUGUUUGUUAUUUUUCCUAUUAUUCUUUAAUAUAAUUUGGUACCACUUAAACAUAAAUCCUGUGUUCAGUCUUUAUUACUCUCCAUUCCUAGAGCUGAGUUUAGUUUCUUCUGAUCUAGCCCAGACAUAUCAUUCACUAUUCUACUUAGUACUUGUACCGUGCUUUAUUAGAGUAACAUACAGGUUACAUUGGUGUUGGAGGAGUUGUGAAUGACUGCAGGGACACAACAUUAGAUACACCUGCAGUCUGCAGGUGUACCUAAUUCACAACUCCUCCAACACGAACAUUAUUGUUUUUGCACUUUUUGGCUUCUUAUUAAAUAACUUUUGUAACCUA